GGUUAAGCGACUAAGCGUACACGGUGGAUGCCCUGGCAGUCAGAGGCGAUGAAGGACGUGCUAAUCUGCGAUAAGCGCCGGUAAGGUGAUAUGAACCGUUAUAACCGGCGAUUUCCGAAUGGGGAAACCCAGUGUGAUUCGUCACACUAUCAUUAACUGAAUCCAUAGGUUAAUGAGGCGAACCGGGGGAACUGAAACAUCUAAGUACCCCGAGGAAAAGAAAUCAACCGAGAUUCCCCCAGUAGCGGCGAGCGAACGGGGAGGAGCCCAGAGCCUGAAUCAGCAUGUGUGUUAGUGGAAGCGUCUGGAAAGGCGCGCGAUACAGGGUGACAGCCCCGUACACAAAAGCGCACAUGCUGUGAGCUCGAUGAGUAGGGCGGGACACGUGGUAUCCUGUCUGAAUAUGGGGGGACCAUCCUCCAAGGCUAAAUACUCCUGACUGACCGAUAGUGAACCAGUACCGUGAGGGAAAGGCGAAAAGAACCCCGGCGAGGGGAGUGAAAAAGAACCUGAAACCGUGUACGUACAAGCAGUGGGAGCACCCUUUGGGGUGUGACUGCGUACCUUUUGUAUAAUGGGUCAGCGACUUAUAUUCUGUAGCAAGGUUAACCGUAUAGGGGAGCCGGAGGGAAACCGAGUCUUAACCGGGCGUUAAGUUGCAGGGUAUAGACCCGAAACCCGGUGAUCUAGCCAUGGGCAGGUUGAAGGUUGGGUAACACUAACUGGAGGACCGAACCGACUAAUGUUGAAAAAUUAGCGGAUGACCUGUGGCUGGGGGUGAAAGGCCAAUCAAACCGGGAGAUAGCUGGUUCUCCCCGAAAGCUAUUUAGGUAGCGCCUCGUGAAUUCAUCUCCGG
rnacentral:rRNA from 1 species